GAAUGUGAGAUAUCUUGGCCCAAUCUUCUCCCGUCUUAUCCUCAUACCUUUUCUCCAGGGCGGAACAAGAGUAGAUCUCCAGGCAAGAAAGAGAUGGCGGCAAACCGUUUUCUGGCAGGAAUUGGAGUUUUGGACAGUCAGAAAUUCGUAGCUUUUGAAGAGAAGUGAGGUGUAGAAGUCCCUCUGUUGGAAGGAAUUCCAGACUUGGGCAACGAGAAAUAUUUAGAAAUUGAAGAGAAGUGAGGUGUUGAAGUCCCUCUCGUGGCAGGAAUUCCAGACUUGGGCAAUCUUCAAUACGUAGCCAGUGAAGAGUAGUAGGGAGCAGGAGCUGUUCCUUGAGCAACGGUGCCCAGAUCUCGCCAGCAAUUGUAAAUUGUUUAAGGGAGACAAGUCCUUGUAAUCCCCACUCCACUGAAGGCUUCACUUUGUCGCAAUGUGUAACCUUAAAAUAUUGCAGGUUGGGAGGCAAACCCCCUUGGGCAAAUGAUACAAGAUUUGGAAGAUCCCAGAUAUGCAAUCGUUCAAGGGCGGUGAGGGUGCGAAUUCGUUCGGGGAACGACUUCAAACUCUUGCAUCCACUGACUUCCAAAUCUCUCAAGUUUGUGCCACCCAUGUUAGGCUUCUGUAGUUCAAAAUAAGCAAUACAGUAAGAAAAAACUGCAGUUGUAACUGGAAAAAUAAACAUUUAGAGUCCUCCAGAAAUUAGAGGCAGGGGAAAAGGAUACAAAGAGGUUUACCCCCAUCUGUUUUCUCACACUCCUACUACAUAUGAAAUUUUGAAAUGCCUGCUUCUUGUGAUAGCUAUUCAACAUGAAUGCCAUCUCGGAUGCUUUUGCUUUACUUACAUAUCAGCUCAACAAACUCCCCUAAAUGCAGAGAUGAAAGUAAAAUUCAAUGGACAGAUUGAUCAUUGAUGAUAAAGAAUGAACAAAACUAACUAUUACAGUUUUAAAUAGAUCCGAUUAUUGUUGCUUCGUAAAUUAAUUCUCUCUAAGAAGUAUAAGAUUUGUAAAUUACAUUAACAUGAAUUUAUUUUUUUAAUUUUUAAAUGAUAUGCAAUCUAUAUAAAACAGAGAUAUUGUGAGGGACAAAACUGAAACAUAUAUUCAGUUAACAUUUGUUAAAACGAAGCAUCAUAUCCUCUGCAUAAGAUGUUACAUGGUAAGAGAGAACGUAAAUUAAAGCUCAUCUGCAGUAUUCAAUUAAAGAUCUAUUACCAGUUUACAUUUGUAAGGAAAAGCGUAGAUACACACCAACUUGAAGAUGAUAAUGGCAUUGAAAGAAGAUGAGAUAUCAGGCCACCGUAUUCAAACCACGCCCAUAUGACAAAGAAAUAUAUCAUCCUGGGGUUCCAUCAUCUUCCUUUAGAGGUGCAUCAUCUUCAAGCCAAAAAUGCUUAGGAAAUUGAUGUGAGCUAACAUCCGUUGCCUCAGACAAUCGCCUCUUAAGUUCCACAAUAAGGACUCUGCAGCAAUUACGAAUUUGUGUUUGUAAAGAAACUCAUCCGCACCAACAUAAAAGCCACCAUAUAAAAACGAAAUCAGAAUGAUUAAAAAAAAGAAAUCGUCCAAGGGUUACCUACAUGAUAUAUCUCUUGCACCAGCGUGAAGAUCACUAGGACAUCGUAAGAAAACUAUAAAAGCAUGCCACGGCUGUUUACUCAUGCCAGACAGGCCCAGUAAUUGAUGCAAGCUAGCAUCUGUUCCCUUGGGUAAUUCUAGUUUACAGUUCCACACCACAGUUAGCUCGCUGCCGCAUCCACAAAGGCCAUAAAUGAGUCUGUCCUGUCACAUUGUAUUAACAGAUACUUAGGAUUGAUUUUACAAGAGUCUUGAUAACUAAUGCUGAUUCACGCAACUGAGAAACGGUAAAAAGAAUACAGAACAGUUGAAUAAUGCAUUACACAUGAGCUACUGAGAAACUUAUCUGCAGCUUUGAUUCUCAAAACUUUCAAAAACAUUUCCUAUUCUCUGCCCCUCCCUCCCCACUCACUCUCUCUCUCUCUCUCUCUCUCUCUCUUCUCUCUCUCUCUCUCUCAUCAAGAAGUUUAUGUUGGAGAUAAAUAAAAAGAACGAAACGAAAAGAAACAUCAGAAAACACACCUCGAAAGAUUUAUCUGCACACAUGUUUCCAUUUGUCAGCUACGAUUAUAUGAUUGGAACCACAAGAGCAUAAAGUAUCUACGCAAGCAUCAAUCUGGUACCUGAAUAAGGAAAACGAGACAGCCUGCCAAUGGAGGAGGAGGAAAGUGUGGAUGCAAGUUUGUGUAGGCUUCUGCAGACCAAAAUAAGCAGAAUUGAUGGUUUUUAUUAUGUUGAUCAAUAUGUGUCUUCUUUGCUGCAAAGAAAAAAUUGAUCAAUAUGCUAUGAUUCUUAUUUCUAUUAUGUCUUUUAUUUUUCAAACUAUUGAAGUUAAUUAGAUGCAAACUACCUGAGAGUCAAAUGCCGAAAAGAACAACUUUGUAUGAGAGAGACAGAGCUCAUACAGAUAUGAUGACUUGUUUGCCUAUCUUUAUUAAAGGAAUGUGAGAUAUCUUGGCCCAAUCUUCUCCCAUCUUAUCCUCAUACCUUUUCUCCAGGGCGGAACAAGAGUAGAUCUUCAGGGAAGAAAGAGAUGGCGGCAAACCGUUUUCUGGCAGGAAUUGGAGUUUUGGACAAUCUUCAAUAGUUAGAUAUUGAAGAGAAGUGAGGUGUAGAAGUCCCUCUGCUGGAAGGAAUUCCAGACUUGGGCAACGAUAAAUAUUUAGAUAUUGAAGAGAAGUGAGGUGUUGAAGUCCCUCUCGUGGCAGGAAUUCCAGACUUGGGCAAUCUAAAAUACUUAGCCGGUGAAGAGUAGUAGGGAGCAGGAGCUGUUCCUUGAGCAACGGUGCCCAGAUCUCUCCAGCAAUUGUAAAUUCUUUAAGGGAGACA
rnacentral:lncRNA from 1 species